AACAAAUAGGAAGUAAGUGAAAGCGCCUCAGUGGCGUGAUCGGUAUGGUGUUGACCUGCCACUUCGGUGGCCGCGAGUUCGAUUCUCGGGCAUUCCAUUGAGGGGUCAGAGAUGUGCAUUUCUGGUGAUAGAAGUUCACUCUCGACGUGGUUAGGAAGUCACGUAAAGCCGUUGGUCCCGUUGCUGAAUAACCACUGGUUCCUUGCAACGUAAAAGCACCAUACAGACAAAACAAACAAACAGGAAGUAAGUGAAUGGGGUAAAAAAGGCAGAUAGUAGAAAUAGAAAGGAAAAUGUGGGCAAUAAUUUCAAGUAAAAUAAGUCAUUGUUAUUCUGCAGAGAUGCAAGUGCAGAGAGGAAGGUUAACUGAACAAAUGGAUCUCAAAUUAAAAUGUCAUUGGAAUGAUGCUCUCUGAGGAGAAUGCUCUUCUGUGUCGACUGAGUGAGAAAUUUGAAUAUUUGUGAAUGAGGUAAGACCGAAGAGGAGCAGCAGAGAUGAAAGAGAAGUGUAGAAAAGGGUGUAUUUAUGUUCAGAAUGCUUUUGGAAAUGACUUUUGAGGAAGUAAGGAAUAUAAUCAAGAGGUUGAAGACUGGAAGGACACCAAGUGUUGAUGGAAUUACCAGUGAGACAUUUCACUAAGGUGGCGAUAGUUUGAUUGAGUGGCUGACCAGCGUGUGCAAGAUGGAGAAUUAAGACAGUUCCUUCGACCUAAAGCAUUGCAGCAGACAGACUCGAAUGUGGAGGAAUUAAACCGGUUUUACUGUUAAUAACAAAGACUUGAGUAUUUGGACGAGUUGGCUGGGGUCGGAAUGGCCGUAGUUUGGCAGCAUAUUUCAGCUAUAGGGAAUUGCUUGUAAUCAGGAAACGUUUCUCAGAAGUACUCGAUUGAUUUUGGGACCACGAUGUAUUGUACCCAGGGGAAUCACAAGUGAAGAAGUUAAUGCUGUUUGUAACUUAUUUUUGAAGAUUUACCUGUGGAUUGGUUAACCUGUAUUAUAAACUGGCAGAUGUGGUUCCAAAUGUUCCUUGCCAGGAUUGUAAUGUUUGGUCUCACACCUCCAGAGUAGCUUAGGUUGGGCAGCUGCAUGUACUUCAUUUGAUUUAAAUAAUGAUAACUUACAGUAUUUGUGAGGAUUUUAUGAGCUACUUGCAGAAACAGCUGAAGGACUUACAGUGUAGAAACUCAAUGCGAAGGCCACAAUGAAGAGUAAAAAGACUACGAAGAAUCUUGCAAAAGUUGCUAGAAUGUCAGUGAACAUGACAACGUAGAUGCCAAAGAAGGGUAAUUUU